UAGGGAAUCUUCGGCAAUGGGGGGAACCCUGACCGAGCAACGCCGCGUGAGUGAAGAAGGUUUUCGGAUCGUAAAGCUCUGUUGUUAAGGAAGAACGAGUGUGAGAAUGGAAAGUUCAUACUGUGACGGUACUUAACCAGAAAGGGACGGCUAACUACGUGCCAGCAGCCGCGGUAAUACGUAGGUCCCGAGCGUUGUCCGGAUUUAUUGGGCGUAAAGCGAGCGCAGGCGGUUAGAUAAGUCUGAAGUUAAAGGCGGUGGCUCAACCAUUGUAGGCUUUGAAAACUGAUUAACUUGAGUGCAGAAGGGGAGAGUGGAAUUCCAUGUGUAGCGGUGAAAUGCGUAGAUAGAUGGAGGAACACCGGUGGCGAAAGCGGCUCUCUGGUCUGUAACUGACGCUGAGGCUCGAAAGCGUGGGGAGCGAACAGG
rnacentral:rRNA from 1 species